AAUACAACUUUUAACAACGGAUCUCUUGGCUCUCGCAUCGAUGAAGAACGCAGCGAAAUGCGAUAAGUAAUGUGAAUUGCAGAAUUCAGUGAAUCAUCGAAUCUUUGAACGCACCUUGCACUCUCUGGUAUUCCGGGGAGCACACCUGUUCGAGUGUCA
rnacentral:rRNA from 2 species